UGGGGAUGACGUCAAGUCAUCAUGGCCCUUACGGCCUGGGCUACACACGUGCUACAAUGGUCGGUACAAAGGGUUGCCAAGCCGCGAGGUGGAGCUAAUCCCAUAAACCGAUCGUAGUCCGGAUCGCAGUCUGCAACUCGACUGCGUGAAGUCGGAAUCGCUAGUAAUCGUGAAUCAGAAUGUCACGGUGAAUACGUUCCCGGGCCUU
rnacentral:rRNA from 1 species